rnacentral:rRNA from 1 species
UGGGGAAUAUUGGACAAUGGGCGAAAGCCUGAUCCAGCCAUGCCGCGUGUGUGAAGAAGGUCUUCGGAUUGUAAAGCACUUUAAGUUGGGAGGAAGGGCAGUUACCUAAUACGUAUCUGUUUUGACGUUACCGACAGAAUAAGCACCGGCUAACUCUGUGCCAGCAGCCGCGGUAAUACAGAGGGUGCAAGCGUUAAUCGGAAUUACUGGGCGUAAAGCGCGCGUAGGUGGUUUGUUAAGUUGGAUGUGAAAUCCCCGGGCUCAACCUGGGAACUGCAUUCAAAACUGACAAGCUAGAGUAUGGUAGAGGGUGGUGGAAUUUCCUGUGUAGCGGUGAAAUGCGUAGAUAUAGGAAGGAACACCAGUGGCGAAGGCGACCACCUGGACCGAUACUGACACUGAGGUGCGAAAGCGUGGGGAGCAAACAGGAUUAGAUACCCACGUAGUCCCUGAGCGGGCUGGCAAGGCGCAU